rnacentral:piRNA from 1 species
UGGGAUCAGGUCCUCUAACUCUGGAGCUC